rnacentral:lncRNA from 1 species
CAACCUGCAGGCCUUCAUGGAACCUGCAGGAACCUAAUCAGGAAACUUCAGCUGAAGGCAGAUCUUGCUGUGGACAGUGUGUCCCCCCUCCUGGCAUGUCCACUGAGAAGGAAGAGAUCAGAAGCAACAGGAGGUGGCUCCUGGUCAUGCAUGUUAGUAUUUCAUGGGCUGAAGGGCAAUCUCCAAAGAUGAUUGUGUGCAGAGAGAUUUGCAAACUGC